UGGGGAAUAUUGGACAAUGGGCGAAAGCCUGAUCCAGCCAUGCCGCGUGUGUGAAGAAGGUCUUCGGAUUGUAAAGCACUUUAAGUUGGGAGGAAGGGCAGUAAGCGAAUACCUUGCUGUUUUGACGUUACCGACAGAAUAAGCACCGGCUAACUCUGUGCCAGCAGCCGCGGUAAUACAGAGGGUGCAAGCGUUAAUCGGAAUUACUGGGCGUAAAGCGCGCGUAGGUGGUUCGUUAAGUUGAAUGUGAAAGCCCCGGGCUCAACCUGGGAACAGCAUCCAAAACUGGCGAGCUAGAGUAGGGCAGAGGGUGGUGGAAUUUCCUGUGUAGCGGUGAAAAGCGUAGAUAUAGGAAGGAACACCAGUGGCGAAGGCGACCACCUGGGCUCAUACUGACACUGAGGUGCGAAAGCGUAGGGAGGAAACAGG
rnacentral:rRNA from 1 species